rnacentral:rRNA from 1 species
UUCCGGUUGAUCCUGCCGGACCCGACUGCUAUCAGAGUGGGACUAAGCCAUGCGAGUCAACGUAGCAAUACGUGGCAUACGGCUCAGUAACACGUAGUCAACAUGCCCAGGGGACGAGGAUAACCUCGGGAAACUGAGGAUAAACCUCGAUAGGCCAUGAUUUCUGGAAUGAUUCUUGGCUCAAACCUAUAUGGCCCCUGGAUUGGACUGCGGCCGAUCAGGCUGUUGGUGAGGUAAUGGCCCACCAAACCUAUUACCGGUACGGGCUCUGAGAGGAGGAGCCCGGAGAUGGGCACUGAGACAAGGGCCCAGGCCCUAUGGGGCGCAGCAGGCGCGAAACCUCUGCAAUAGGCGAAAGCUUGACAGGGUUACUCUGAGUGAUUUCCGCUAAGGGAAUCUUUUGGCACCUCUAAAAAUGGUGCAGAAUAAGGGGUGGGCAAGUCUGGUGUCAGCCGCCGCGGUAAUACCAGCACCCCGAGUGGUCGGGACGAUUAUUGGGCCUAAAGCAUCCGAAGCCGGUCCUGCAAGUCUUCCGUUAAAUACAGCUGCUCAACAGAUGGGCUGCGGGAGAUACUACAGGGCUAGGAGGCGGGAGAGGCAAGCGGUACUUUAUGGGUAGGGGUAAAAUCCGCUGAUCCAUAGAAGACCACCAGUGGCGAAGGCGGCUUGCCAGAACGCGCUCGACGGUGAGGGAUGAAAGCUGGGGGAGCAAACCGGAUUAGAUACCCGGGUAGUCCCAG